rnacentral:rRNA from 1 species
GGUUAAGUUAGAAAGGGCGCACGGUGGAUGCCUUGACACUAGGAGUCGAUGAAGGACGGGACUAACGCCGAUAUGCUUCGGGGAGCUGUAAGUAAGCUUUGAUCCGAAGAUUUCCGAAUGGGGAAACCCACCAUACGUAAUGGUAUGGUAUCCUUAUCUGAAUACAUAGGGUAAGGAAGACAGACCCAGGGAACUGAAACAUCUAAGUACCUGGAGGAAGAGAAAGCAAAUGCGAUUUCCUGAGUAGCGGCGAGCGAAACGGAACAUAGCCCAAACCAAGAGGCUUGCCUCUUGGGGUUGUAGGACAUUCUAUACGGAGUUACAAAGGAACGAGGUAGACGAAGCGACCUGGAAAGGUCCGUCGUAGAGGGUAACAACCCCGUAGUCGAAACUUCGUUCUCUCUUGAAUGUAUCCUGAGUACGGCGGAACACGUGAAAUUCCGUCGGAAUCUGGGAGGACCAUCUCCCAAGGCUAAAUACUCCCUAGUGAUCGAUAGUGAACCAGUACCGUGAGGGAAAGGUGAAAAGCACCCCGGAAGGGGAGUGAAAGAGAUCCUGAAACCGUGUGCCUACAAAUAGUCAGAGCCCGUUAACGGGUGAUGGCGUGCCUUUUGUAGAAUGAACCGGCGAGUUACGAUCCCGUGCGAGGUUAAGCUGAAGAGGCGGAGCCGCAGCGAAAGCGAGUCUGAAUAGGGCGUUUAGUACGUGGUCGUAGACCCGAAACCAGGUGAUCUACCCAUGUCCAGGGUGAAGUUCAGGUAACACUGAAUGGAGGCCCGAACCCACGCACGUUGAAAAGUGCGGGGAUGAGGUGUGGGUAGCGGAGAAAUUCCAAUCGAACCUGGAGAUAGCUGGUUCUCCCCGAAAUAGCUUUAGGGCUAGCCUUAAGUGUAAGAGUCUUGGAGGUAGAGCACUGAUUGGACUAGGGGUCCUCAUCGGAUUACCGAAUUCAGUCAAACUCCGAAUGCCAAUGACUUAUCCUUAGGAGUCAGACUGCGAGUGAUAAGAUCCGUAGUCAAAGGGAAACAGCCCAGACCGCCAGCUAAGGUCCCAAAGUGUGUAUUAAGUGGAAAAGGAUGUGGAGUUGCUUAGACAACUAGGAUGUUGGCUUAGAAGCAGCCACCAUUUAAAGAGUGCGUAAUAGCUCACUAGUCGAGUGACUCUGCGCCGAAAAUGUACCGGGGCUAAAUACACCACCGAAGCUGCGGAUUGAUACCGAAUGGUAUCAGUGGUAGGGGAGCGUUCUAAGGACAGUGAAGUCAGACCGGAAGGACUGGUGGAGUGCUUAGAAGUGAGAAUGCCGGUAUGAGUAGCGAAAGACGGGUGAGAAUCCCGUCCACCGAAUGCCUAAGGUUUCCUGAGGAAGGCUCGUCCGCUCAGGGUUAGUCAGGACCUAAGCCGAGGCCGACAGGCGUAGGCGAUGGACAACAGGUUGAUAUUCCUGUACCACCUCUUUAUCGUUUGAGCAAUGGAGGGACGCAGAAGGAUAGAAGAAGCGUGCGAUUGGUUGUGCACGUCCAAGCAGUUAGGCUGAUAAGUAGGCAAAUCCGCUUAUCGUAAAGGCUGAGCUGUGAUGGGAAGCUCCUUAUGGAGCGAAGUCUUUGAUUCCCCGCUGCCAAGAAAAGCUUCUAGCGAGAUAAAAGGUGCCUGUACCGCAAACCGACACAGGUAGGCGAGGAGAGAAUCCUAAGGUGUGCGAGAGAACUCUGGUUAAGGAACUCGGCAAAAUGACCCCGUAACUUCGGGAGAAGGGGUGCUUUCUUAACGGAAAGCCGCAGUGAAUAGGCCCAAGCGACUGUUUAGCAAAAACACAGCUCUCUGCGAAGCCGUAAGGCGAAGUAUAGGGGUGACACCUGCCCGGUGCUGGAAGGUUAAGGAGAGGGGUUAGCGUAAGCGAAGCUCUGAACUGAAGCCCCAGUAAACGGCGGCCGUAACUAUAACGGUCCUAAGGUAGCGAAAUUCCUUGUCGGGUAAGUUCCGACCCGCACGAAAGGUGUAACGAUUUGGGCACUGUCUCAACCAGAGACUCGGUGAAAUUAUAGUACCUGUGAAGAUGCAGGUUACCCGCGACAGGACGGAAAGACCCCGUGGAGCUUUACUGUAGCCUGAUAUUGAAUUUUGGUACAGUUUGUACAGGAUAGGCGGGAGCCUUUGAAACCGGAGCGCUAGCUUCGGUGGAGGCGCUGGUGGGAUACCGCCCUGACUGUAUUGAAAUUCUAACCUACGGGUCUUAUCGACCCGGGAGACAGUGUCAGGUGGGCAGUUUGACUGGGGCGGUCGCCUCCUAAAGUGUAACGGAGGCGCCCAAAGGUUCCCUCAGAAUGGUUGGAAAUCAUUCGUAGAGUGCAAAGGCAUAAGGGAGCUUGACUGCGAGACCUACAAGUCGAGCAGGGACGAAAGUCGGGCUUAGUGAUCCGGUGGUUCCGCAUGGAAGGGCCAUCGCUCAACGGAUAAAAGCUACCCCGGGGAUAACAGGCUUAUCUCCCCCAAGAGUCCACAUCGACGGGGAGGUUUGGCACCUCGAUGUCGGCUCAUCGCAUCCUGGGGCUGUAGUCGGUCCCAAGGGUUGGGCUGUUCGCCCAUUAAAGCGGUACGCGAGCUGGGUUCAGAACGUCGUGAGACAGUUCGGUCCCUAUCCGUCGUGGGCGUAGGAAAUUUGAGAGGAGCUGUCCUUAGUACGAGAGGACCGGGAUGGACGCACCGCUGGUGUACCAGUUGUUCUGCCAAGGGCAUAGCUGGGUAGCUAUGUGCGGAAGGGAUAAGUGCUGAAAGCAUCUAAGCAUGAAGCCCCCCUCAAGAUGAGAUUUCCCAUAGCGUAAGCUAGUAAGAUCCCUGAAAGAUGAUCAGGUUGAUAGGUUCGAGGUGGAAGCAUGGUGACAUGUGGAGCUGACGAAUACUAAUAGAUCGAGGACUUAACCAU